CAAACACACUAUUUUUUAAAUAAUAUUCACUAUUUAAUACUUUAGUGUACCCAGCAAUGCAUGAACCACAGAGAGCAAUCUUUUCCAAACAAGAGUGAAUCUAGGUAAAUUCUGUGGCUAAAUAACCAUCCCCCGAAAAAAAGUAAUACAUCUAGAGAAAACAGCAUACAAAAUCAAAUCUACUCAUUUUAAACCAUGGAAAAAACCACAUUUCCAUGUAUUUCUUUAAAAUCUUUUAAUAUAUAUAAAAAAUUUCACAUACUUUUACGAUUUUAUGGGAUAUAUGACUGCCCAGGGAAUGCUACAAUGUCAGACACAAAUUUGAAAAUAACUCUUCCAUAAGUACUGCUAGAACUCUUCCAUAAGUACUGCUAGAUUAUACAGGCAAUCUUUACAUAAUAUCAUUAGGAUACAGACAACCCUAGGGCUGUAAGUAUUCCGUGAAGGUGAAUAUGAGACAAUUAAUUAUACUCCCCAUAUUAGAUUGGUUCUCAUCAGACAACCUAACACUAAGCUUAUUUGACACUGUUUUUUAAAAGAUCCAGUAUUAAAAGAAUAACCUUCCUCUGGGUAGAAAAAAUAGUAAUUUUGACCUAUUAAAGAUGAUAUAUAUUGAUAAAACACAGUCUUGUUCUCAAAUA
rnacentral:lncRNA from 1 species